GUGAAUCAUCAAAUUUUUGAACGCAAAUUGCACUCUCCGGUUUUCCGGGAGAGAAGGCCUGUUUGGGGGUCUGUUUAAAAAAUAAUCGAGGGUGCUGCUGUGGUGGCGCGUCGGAAUUGGGUCAUCUUCAGCCUUUCGGGAUUGUAAGCGAGCUAAAAUUGUUCUUACGAUUGCUACGAACGUGACUAAGAAUUUGUAUUAAGUUCGC
rnacentral:misc_RNA from 1 species